rnacentral:tRNA from 1 species
GCCAGCAUGGCAUAGUGGUUUGAGUGUUGGACUAUGACUCUGCAGACCAGGUUUUAAAUCCCAGUUCAGCCA